GAUGAACGCUGGCGGCGUGCCUAAUACAUGCAAGUCGAGCGAACAGACGAGGAGCUUGCUCCUCUGACGUUAGCGGCGGACGGGUGAGUAACACGUGGAUAACCUACCUAUAAGACUGGGAUAACUUCGGGAAACCGUAGCUAAUACCGGAUAAUAUAUUGAACUGCAUGGUUCAAUAGUGAAAGACGGUUUUGCUGUCACUUAUAGAUGGAUCCGCGCCUCAUUAGCUAGUUGGUAAGGUAACGGCUUACCAAGGCAACGAUGAUUAGCCGACCUGAGAGGGUGAUCGGCCACACUGGAACUGAGACACGGUCCAGACUCCUACGGGAGGCAGCAGUAGGGAAUCUUCCGCAAUGGGCGAAAGCCUGACGGAGCAACGCCGCGUGAGUGAUGAAGGUCUUCGGAUCGUAAAACUCUGUUAUUAGGGAAGAACAAAUGUGUAAGUAACUAUGCACGUCUUGACGGUACCUAAUCAGAAAGCCACGGCUAACUACGUG
rnacentral:rRNA from 1 species